CCUACGGGGGGCUGCAGUGGGGAAUAUUGGACAAUGGGCGAAAGCCUGAUCCAGCCAUGCCGCGUGUGUGAAGAAGGCCUUCGGGUUGUAAAGCACUUUCAGUGGGGAAGAAAGCCUUGGGGCUAAUACCCUCGAGGAAGGACAUCACCCACAGAAGAAGCACCGGCUAACUCCGUGCCAGCAGCCGCGGUAAUACGGAGGGUGCGAGCGUUAAUCGGAAUUACUGGGCGUAAAGCGCGCGUAGGCGGUCUGAUAAGCCGGUUGUGAAAGCCCCGGGCUCAACCUGGGAACGGCAUCCGGAACUGUCAGGCUAGAGUGCAGAGAGGAAGGUAGAAUUCCCGGUGUAGCGGUGAAAUGCGUAGAGAUCGGGAGGAAUACCAGUGGCGAAGGCGGCCUUCUGGACUGACACUGACGCUGAGGUGCGAAAGCGUGGGUAGCAAACAGGAUUAGAUACCCGUGUAGUC
rnacentral:rRNA from 1 species